UACAGAGGUCUCAAGCGUUGUUCGGAUUCAUUGGGCGUAAAGGGUGCGUAGGUGGUGGGGUAAGUCGGAUGUGAAAGCUCGGAGCUCAACUCCGAAAUGGCAUUGGAAACUACCCUGCUAGAGGAUUGGAGGGGGGACUGGAAUACUUGGUGUAGCAGUGAAAUGCGUAGAUAUCAAGUGGAACACCAGUGGCGAAGGCGAGUCCCUGGACAAUACCUGACACUGAGGCACGAAAGCUAGGGGAGCAAACAGG
rnacentral:rRNA from 1 species